AUUGAACGCUGGCGGCAUGCUUUACACAUGCAAGUCGAACGGCAGCGGGGAGGAGCUUGCUUCUCUGCCGGCGAGUGGCGAACGGGUGAGUAAUACAUCGGAACGUGUCGAGAAGAGGGGGAUAACCACCCGAAAGGGUGGCUAAUACCGCAUAAAUUCUGAGGAAGAAAGCUGGGGACCUAGGAAUAGGCCUAGCGCUUUUUGAGCGGCCGAUGUCGGAUUAGCUAGUUGGUGAGGUAAAGGCUCACCAAGGCGAAGAUCUGUAGCGGGUCUGAGAGGAUGAUCCGCCACACUGGGACUGAGACACGGCCCAGACUCCUACGGGAGGCAGCAGUGGGGAAUUUUGGACAAUGGGGGCAACCCUGAUCCAGCCAUGCCGCGUAUAUGAAGAAGGCCUUAGGGUUGUAAAGUACUUUUGUUAGGGAAGAAAAGUCAGCUGUGAAUAAUGGCUGAUACUGACGGUACCUAAAGAAUAAGCACCGGCUAACUACGUG
rnacentral:rRNA from 1 species